GUAAGUGACCUUGUGGAAGCUAGUAGAGGCUUAAGAUUGACAUUUCAGCUUGUUUUGCAUUUCCUUGGCUAGACAAGCUCUUACAUGAUUGUUUUGGUGUGCUGGAAUCAAAGCACUGAUCUUGUUAGGUUUUGUGAACUGUCAAGUGCAUGAAAUUGUUGUUGUUCUUAUCCAGUGUUUUUGAGAUACAGUCAAAUCAGCUUUAAUCCACACUAGCACUAUUUCAAGUUUUCAGUUCACAUCUUAAUUGCAGUUAGGUAGGGUGGCAAAAUGUGAUGUGUGACUGAAGCUGCCGGAUUGAAAGAGGAAAAUGAACCUGUUUUUGAAGGAUUAAAAACUGAUUUUCCUCACAGCUACUGAUUUCUAGCUGACUCUUUGUACUUGUACAAAUAAUUCAGUGCUUGACGUUGCACCAGAACUACCUUCUCAGUUGCACCGUUCCUUGUGUCUGGCACAAAUCCUAAAAGUGAGUUCAACUUUUAAACGUCAUUAUUCAAGUAUCACUACAAAGAUUUUACUUACUCUGUGUCCAAAUGAAAAGGGAAGAGAUGUUUGUGUGUUUUGUAAUGUUACUGCAAUGAAAAAGUCUACUUAAUUAAAG
ensembl:lncRNA